rnacentral:rRNA from 1 species
GGCUAAUGAUGAGAGCACCUGGAUGGUUUCUCGUUGAAAAGACAUUAAGAACAUGCUCUUAAUGUUGCCUAAGGAUGGGACUGCGGCCGAUCAGGUUGUUGGUAGGGUAAUGGCCUACCAAGCCUAUAACCGGUACGGGCCCUGAGAGGGGUAGCCCGGAGAUGGGAACUGAGACAAGGUCCCAGGCCCUACGGGGCGCAGCAGGCGCGAAACCUCCACAAUGCACGAAUGUGUGAUGGGGUUAUCCUGAGUGCUAUCCGCUGAGGAUGGCUUUUCUUCAGUGUAUGUAGCUGUAGGAAUAAGAGGGGGGCAAGACUGGUGUCAGCCGCCGCGGUAAUACCAGCCCCUCGAGUGGUAGGGAUGAUUAUUUAGCCUAAAGCGUUCGUAGCCGGCUUAGCAAGUCCCUCGUGAAAUCCGACGACUUAAUCGUCGGGCGUGCGAAGGAUACUGUUAGGCUUGGGGACGGGAGAAGUCGACGGUAGUCUCGGUGUAGGGGUGAAAUCCUAUAAUCCCGAGAGGACCACCAGUGGCGAAGGCGGUCGACUAGAACGAGCCCGACGGUGAUGGACGAAAGCUGGGGGAGCGAACCGGAUUAGAUACCCGGGUAGUCCCAGCUGUAAACGAUGCGGGCUAGGUGUUGGAGCAGCCAC